GACGAACGCUGGCGGCGCGCCUAACACAUGCAAGUCGAACGGUGAAGAGGAGCUUGCUCCUCGGAACAGUGGCGGACGGGUGAGUAACACGUGAGCAACCUGGCUCUAAGAGGGGGACAACAGUUGGAAACGACUGCUAAUACCGCAUGACGUAUCGGGAUGGCAUCUUCCUGAUACCAAAGAUUUUAUCGCUUAGAGAUGGGCUCGCGUCUGAUUAGAUAGUUGGCGUGGUAACGGCCCACCAAGUCGACGAUCAGUAGCCGGACUGAGAGGUUGAACGGCCACAUUGGGACUGAGACACGGCCCAGACUCCUACGGGAGGCAGCAGUGGGGGAUAUUGGACAAUGGGGGCAACCCUGAUCCAGCGACGCCGCGUGAGGGAAGAAGGUUUUCGGAUUGUAAACCUCUGUUGACGGAGAAAAAAAUGAUGGUAUCCGUUUAGAAAGCCACGGCUAACUACGUG
rnacentral:rRNA from 1 species